rnacentral:rRNA from 1 species
CACGUGAGGGGCAAGCGUUGUCCGGAUUUAUUGGGCGUAAAGAGCUCGUAGGUGGUUCGGUAAGUCGGGUGUUAAACCCCCAGGCUCAACCUGGGACGCCACUCGAUACUGCUGUGGACUUGAGUUCGGUAGGGGAGCGUGGAAUUCCUGGUGUAGCGGUGAAAUGCGCAGAUAUCAGGAGGAACACCGGUGGCGAAGGCGGAUCUC